GGACCCGUGGCCCAAUUGGCAAGGCGUUUGACUACGAUUAUCAUAUCAAAAGAUUGUGGGUUCGAAUCCCAUCGGGUUCA